GAGACGAACAAAGGUAUUAACUUUUUUUGAUGAAGACGAGUGUCGGAGUGUGAGUGUAGAGUAAAGGAACGGCGAACGAGAGGUACGGUACCGAGAGGUACAGCGGAGGGGAAGGGAGGGAAGUGCUGAAGAAGGUGGUGGAGGGGAAGGGCCGUUCUGUAGCGGUCGGAGGAGAGGGGAGGUGCUGACAUACUGUGUACGGUGGUGCCGGAGCGCGGCGUACCAGCAGUGGCUCGAGGGGGUAGAGAUCGAUGGAAGGUAGCUGGUAAGGGAGCCGUAGUGGAGAAAGAGAGGGAGCUGUCCGUGGCCACGAGGGGAGGUAGCUGCGGCGGGGGGACGACGAGGGGAGGUCGCCGCCCCGGGAGGAUGAUGAGGGGAGGUAGCCUCCGCGGGGGAACGGCGAGGUGAGGGAGCCGGCACAGGGGGACGACGAGGGGAAGAAAACCACCGUAGCCGACGAUGAAGGAGGGAAUCAACAAGGACAACGUCGAGGGGAGAGAGUGCGGAGAGACCGGCGACCUAGGUUGCUCCUCCCCUUUUACAACGGACAGCCCAGACUGGCGGGUACGGCAGCCACAAUCCUACACCCACCCCGUUGGAGCCCGUCUCGCUUCCUUCCUUUGUCCAUUAGAGACUAAACUCUAGCUAAGAUUGAGUGUGUUCGAAUAUAACACUUCGAUUACCCUAUCUUAGUAUUGAUUGGUUACGAAACAAACAAACACCUUAGAUCUUUACGCUUGGAAAUUAUUAUCAUCUUUAUUAGAUAGAAACUAAAACGUUAAACGGUUGAGUAGUAAAGACGAUAAAAGAAGUCAACUUGGUUUUUAUAUAGAAAUGAUAAACGAAGUCAGCCUCCGAUACAUCGUCGCCACUUCCCCGACCAACACGAGGCCACUACGUCCACGUCUUCCCGUGUAAGGAAUGUCACCACGGUACCUGCAGAACAACCCUAGCUAUCCCUUCUCCAGUUCGGUCUCCGCUACGUGUUGGUAUAUCAGUACCAUGUUUGGGAUGUGUUGUGAGUGUACGGUACUGGUAGCAGUAGAACAGCCAGCUUACCUGCAUCGCCGAUGACGAGGUGGAGUCUUCGUUUACCGCUUAAAUCAAGUCUAGAACCUCGUUUCCUAACACUAAAACAUCGACGUCACCACGAUAAGAAAUGUAAAACCCGUUACCACGACUGGACACCAAAGUGGAGGGUACCGUUUGAAACCGAGCGUCCCUCUCCUAGCAGCGAAGGUGUUUAGCAGCGGGCCGGGCGGGUCUUGUUUGCUUAACUUGCCCAGCUACCCCUACCGAAGUGGAUCCUACCAUUUGAAACCGAGCGACGAUCCCCUAGGCAGAAAAGGUCCCUAGUAGGUAACAGGGCGGGUCUUGGUUGUUUAACUUGUACAGCUACACCUCAAAGCCAACGUAUGUGCCUUUCUCAUGUUGGACUAGAACUUAACGCUAUACUAAGCACAAGAUAUACCUUUUUAUCAGUAAUAUAUACCUUACCACUGACUUAUUUUUAGC
rnacentral:rRNA from 1 species